GACGAAUGCUGGCGGCGUGCUUAACACAUGCAAGUCGUACGGUAAGGGCCUUUCGGGGGAACCCGAGUGGCGAACGGGUGAGUAACACGUGAGUGACCAGCCCUCAACUCUGGGGUCUCGCUAUGCAACUGAGGCUAGGACUGGAUAUGUGCUCCUGCUGCAUGGAGGGGGUUGGUAAGCUCCCGCGGUUGUGGAUGGACUCGCGGCCUCUCAGCUGGUUGGUGGGGUAGUGGCCUACCAAGGCGGCGGCGGGUGGCCGGCCUGGGUGGGUGACCGGCCACAUUGGGGCUGAGAUACGGCCCCGACUCCUACGGGAGGCAGCAGUGUGGAAUAUUGCACAAUGGGCGCCAGCCUGAUGCAGCAACGCCGCGUGCGGUAUGACGGCCUUCGGGUUGUAACCCGCGUUCAGCAGGGACGAAGCGGUGUGUGACGGUACCUGCAGAAGAAGCACCGGCUAACUACGUG
rnacentral:rRNA from 1 species